AAAGGAGCUCUUCUGGAGAUCCCUCUUCUGGAGUUCUGUAGUGAGCCCAGGAUGUGGAGAUCAUUACAUGCUAAAUUCAUUGAGGUGCUGGAGCAGGUCCAAAAAGCUGAUGAAGGGCUUGGAGAAUAUGCCAUCUGAGGAGUGACUGAAGGAACUGGGGCUGUUCAGUCUGGAGAAAAGGAGGCUGAUGGGAGACCUUAUUGCUCUCUUCCAAUAUCUGAAAGGUGCAGAAUGUGAUAUGAAACAAACUGAAGGAAGGGGGAAAAUGGAAGGAAACACGAAACGAAGCAGUCCUAUAUUCUCUAGGGAGUGAAGUCCAGAGGCAACGAGACGGCAAAGAAAGGACAGAGGUUGUCUUUGAUAA